GAAGAAGUUGAAGAAGAGGAUAAGAAAGAUAAAAAGAAAGGUGAGAAAAUAGCUUUUAAUAGCUUACUGUUAUUUUCCGAGUUCGAUAAAGGAUUAUUAUUUCUGUUUUGUGCAUUUUAGAAGAAAGAGUGUUGGUCUUAGUGUCGGGUGAAACAAAGGUUCUGUAUCAGGAAAUAUUAAGUAAAAGGAACAUAAUAGUCGUGUACUAAUAAUAAUUAAUUAAAAUCUGAUUGCACCAAUGUCAGAGCAAUUUCAUCAAUAUACUUGAUUUGAGAAUGUACUUCUGAAUCAAUCUGAAUGUACAAAAUAAAGAACAUUAAUGUUACUGUACAUUAUUAGGCAGAAGUUCUGUGACACAUUUGUUGGUGUUUGUUACAUUGAAGAAACCCUCAUGUCCCUUGUGGCAUCAGGAUGAUGGCAGUUGUACAAUGGAAAUAGUGACAGGGAUAUAGGGUUGAAAUAGUUUGAAUUUGCCAGUCAUAAAGUGUCAGUCAUCUGUUAAAUAUUACAAUGCCUAAUCAAUUUUCCUUAUUUAGAUAAAAAGGAGAAAGACAAGAAAGAAAAAGAAAAGGAUAAAAAAGAAAAGGAUAAGAAAGGAAAGAAGGGGAAAGAAGAGGAGGAAGAAGACAAAAAAGAGGAGACAGAAGAUAAGGAUAAGGAUGAUGAAGAAAAGAAAGAGGAGGAAAACAGUAAAGAAGACAGCAAGGAUAAGAAUGCAAAUAAGGAUGGAGUGAAGGAAAAGGAUUCAAAAUCUUGUGUGGUGAUGUGAUGGGGACACUUACCAGUAGUGGUGAAGACACUAGGCUAGUAUAUGUGUAUGUAUGUGCUAGCCAGGUAGGAAUGGAAUCUUUGAUCACCUCCAACAACUCGGCCAGGAUUUGAGUGUCAGACUUGUGAAGGAUCACCACUGAAUGCAAUUGCCAAGAUUUGCUAUACACAUGUGUAUGUUUAGUGUUAUGUUCAGAAGGAUACAGACCUACCAGAAUACCCAAGGUAUGGUCAUACACAUGUGGACGUACAGGUGGACGUACAGGUGGAAAUACUUGAAUGUGUAGUAUGACAAGGAGUCUAGUUUUUAAUGGAAAAUUAGAUAAUUAAGGGUAAAACUUUGGUAAUGGAAAUUAAUUCAACAGAAAUGUUGCAAUUUCAAAUACUUGAACUAUGAUAGGCCUGAAGACAUUUGACUGAACUGUGAUGUUAGCUACACAGUGUACAAUAUGAAAUGAAGGAAAGAUGUUGUUGAAAACAUUGAGAAGAAAAGCCGAGACUUGUGUUUUUGUAAACAAAGUUAUAUAUGGCAUAGCACAUUAGCACACUUUCUGCAUUGCUUUAGGAUAGAAUUUUGGCCCCUACUUGACCUCUGGCCUGCAGACACAUAGAAGAUGUGGUCAGUAGUGAUCAUGAGAUGACCGCUGGUAUCCUCAGCUCAUUAUCAAUGUGGGUAUUUGACCAGACACAUGGUUCAUUUUACUCAAACUUAUCAAAAUCUCUUUUAAUUACAAUUUAAUUGUACAAUGUAAUUUUGUUUUUGUUUUUUUUCAAUCUUUUGAUGUUUUCUUUUUUCAGAGAAGAAAAUAAAGAAAUAUAAUAGAUUAAUCAGAUUACAUUAUUUAGUGAAAAAAAAACCCAGUUUUAACCAGUAACAGUCAUGAGAAUAAGAUGAAUUAAAUAUAGCUUUUACAUAUCAGAGAUGUGGGUAACAUCCAAGUGAUUUUAGUGAUACUGACAGUUUGUCUGAUUUGAAACUUGGUUGAAGAGAUCUAAGUUAUUUGUAUCAAUUUCGCCUCAGCUGUUUUGAACUUUUCCAAACUUUAAUUUUUAAUCAAAAUAGUAAAAAGGGAAAAAAAUGCAUUCUUGCUUAAUCAAAAUUGUGUGCUCAUAGUAUCAAACACAAUAUAUGUGUCACAUAUAGUGAUGUUAUGGUCAAAACACUUUUUUCACGAGAAGAAUAAUGAUGCAGACUCAUUUUCAUCACAUGUAUUUUAUAUGCCUCCUGGUUUGCUAUAGAACUUACUACAAUUUUGAUGAUCACCAGAGAUAGAUUAGAACUCUAUGCUUCAUAUACUAAAUUUUCAUUUGGAAUGAGUCAAGUUCAAUAUUGACAUACUUGUAGAUUUCCAUUAAGUAAUUAGGCAUGUUGAAGUUAAGUAUUUUCAGCUCUAAAGAAAGUAAAUUAAGUUCAUAUUUUAAAUUGCUCAUUCUCUAAUUAGUUUUUUUAUACUUGUCUAUUGAAAAGGAAGAAGUAUUACUAUCAAUAUACAACCCCACCUUCCAGAUAUAAAAAGUUGUUCUGUCUUGAAUGCUUUAUACCUAAUACAUGUACUUAGUUAAAUAGUUUUUUGGCCUGUAGCCUUUUGGCUAAUCAGCAUAAACAUGUACACAAAAUAAUACACAUGUUACAGUUAAAAAUACAUAUAGUACCAGUUUGUUCACAUAAAUGAUUAGGUCAUAGUACCAGUUUGUUCACAUAAAUUAUUAGGUCACUGAUCAUGACCACUUGUGUGAAAUAUCUACACAAUUAUGAUUAUAUAAAUGUAUCUUUGUAAUCUAUGUAUUAAAUAUGAGCUAUAUAGCAUCACUUUAAAGUGAUUUUCUCAAUAAGACCAGGAGCUAGAGAGGGCAACUAUCUAUUUGAAUAUGUAUCCGAAUACACCUCUAGCUAGUACCAAGGGUAUUUGUUGUAAGUUUAAAGUAGAUUAUAUUGCUUGCAAAACAAAUUUGUGUUACUAGGUUUGUUAGUUAUAUUUUAAUUUCUUUUUAUCUCAAUUUUUGACCUUUAAUUUGGUUUAAGAUUUGGCAUCCUAUAUCUGAGAUGGUUGUGAAAUAUACAGAAUUAGAUUGGUGCUAAUGUCUGCAUACAGUGUAUAUUUAGCUACUUAUUUUAAAGACAAUUUUAAUUUUCAUUUAUUACAUUACCAGUAUACUAUUAGAAAUGUAAACUUGUGUUAAAAUUAAUUUUUAAUAUUUCAUCUUUUACAACAUAGCAAAUGUUAACUAGUACACAGUAUAUAUAGUGUUUUCUUUUCUUUCGUGAUUAAUGUGAACAUUUCUUUCAUGUAGUACUAUGUAAAUUAUAUAUAUACAGUUGUACAAACCUUUUGGAGUACAGUACUAGUGGAAUCCACUUAUUUGCAUGUGCUUUUUACACAUGCAUUCUAUGACAGGCAAAAAUCUUAAAGAGAUGCUUUGAUUUGAAAGAAAUGAAGGGAAAAGAUGAAGAAAAAGGUUUUAUUCUCAUAGUGUUGUUUUCUGUCCGAGACAUUCUCAUGUACAUGUAGCUAGCUAAACAAGGGCUAUAAUCAAUAUUUAGAGGUUUAUGUAAUAGGAGUGUGAAGGAUAUCAGAUUUGGUAGGAAUGAUUAUGCUUAACAACUUUGUGCAUGGUUCCUGUGGUACAUGUAACAGUAUAAUUCCAUAAAGCGAUUCUGUGAUACUAAAUGGACCUAGAAUAUCUAGACAUAUAUGGUAUGGAUGUGUUGUAUUUACUAUAGGCAUAAAAUCCACUAUGCUCAGAUAGAAAAUAAGUAAAAGAGAAAUUAUAAAUCGUGAAAAUGUGUAACUAUUUGACAUGUUUCAGAUGUUUAUAAUGUUGAAUGAAAAGUGUUUGACUUAAUGAACAUUUCAUUUAUCAUUAAAAAAAAAAAAAAAAAAAAACCUUCAAUACAUACUUGUAAGUAGAUCUCUUAUUUUAUAUCUGCCAUAAUUAUAGUAGAUGGUGUAAUCUAUCCUGUAUUUAGAUAUUAAGUACUUUUGAAAUAGACAUUUGAACUGUCAGAUAUGUUCCAGUAAUACAUUGUGUAUUUACAGAAUACAGUUCUUUGUCUUUAGUCUUAGUCCCUCCCUCCAUGUUUUGCUAAUUCUUUUUUUUCCCUUUCCAUAAUGAUACUCAAAGAAUAAAUAGAUUCUGUACUUUCCAAAGGAAGAAUGCUCAUUGAUUUUGAAAACUUAUUAAAAAAAUAAACAGAACCAUAUUAUGCUGAUACAAGUAAAUACAUUGUGUAUAUCAGAAUUUAGAUUCUUUAGCAUUGCUAUAAAGUUUAAACUGUUUAAUGUUUGUUUUCGGUGAUAUUAAUUUUUUGCUUCUAACAUUUUGUCCAAGUUACCUUUUUUUAGUUAAAAUGUGUAAAUUAUGAUCAGAAAAUUGUAUGAUUUUUCCACAAUUAAAUAAUUUUAUAAAAGAAUCUUAAAGUUUAUAAAUGUGGAAGUUGAUUGUUUGAGUGGGAAAAUACUGAUUGUUUUUCUUUCUUUUUUUUGUAUUCAAAUAGCCAUAUUACCUCAAAACACCAUCUAUUUCAGCACUGGAAAUUGUGUGCCUGUGAUUUUAAGAGAACAUUUUCAAUGACUAGGAAUUUUUAGGUUUUUAAAUUAAAAAAACUUUUUAACAUAAUUUCAAGUGAGGGCAAACACUUGAAAUAUUAUAUUUGUGGUCAUUCUGACAUCAGGUGAUUACAUGUGUUUGGAUACAUAUCAAAAAAUUAAUUAGUAAUUGUUUUUAUUUUGAAUAAGAUGUGAUUGUACCUUCCCUGAAGUUGUCCGUCCCCUGACUGCCUUAUCCAUUGUUGUACGUAGUAUGUAAAACAAAUGUUAUUUCUGCAUGUUUUUGUGGCCCUAGUUGCAUUAAGGUUUAAAGUUCUUGUUUAAUCCUUGUUCCUGUUAAAACUCUAUGACCGUCCAUCAUUGUUUCUCUUAUUCACUGUUGAAAAGUAAAAUGUGAAUUGUUAUGAUUACUCAGAAGUUUUUAUGACGAUCUAUAUACAUUUUGUAUAUGUCUUUCUGUUUUAUUGUGCGAGAUGAGAGUGUCGGUAUGUAAGAUUUAAUUAAACAUAUUUUCUGGGUGUUUUUGCUGUAGACCUCUUAUAUUAUGUUGCUUCUAACUAAAAAAGGGGGAAGAAUGAAAAAUCCAGGAUAUGUUAAGAGAGUGUCUGUUUUAAGAGGAUACAGAGGAAUUCCAAAAAUGAAAUGAUGCCAGCCCAUGACAGUUUUUAAAGUUCCAUAUCAUUUUCUUUAAUGUCAAUUGAAGUUUUAGUCCUUUAAUAUGUUAUAAAAAAUGAAGAAGGAUGCUGACUGCUGUACCAUUAAGUGCUUCAUGUUACAGCCAAAGUAUUAAUUGAAUUUCUUGUAGCUGAGGCCAACUCCUUUCUUUUUUUUUUUGAAUUUAAAAAAAAAAAAAAUUUUUUUAAUAAGAUUGGUCAACAAGACUUUUUAUGCCAUAUACAUCAGAUAACUUCUCAAAUUAAAAGUUCCUGAAACAGGAAUUUAAAAAUUUGUCCUCAAUUUGAUUUCCACUGAAUUCAAAAUUUCCCUAUGAAAUAUAAUAUGGUAAUUUUUUGUGAAGUUGCUUGAUCGAAAAUGCAUGAAAUUGUUUGGUGUAUGACUACAUUCUUAGGCAUCAAGUGUUUUUGUAUUGUGGUUGAUGCGAUGUUUACAUGUUUACGGCAUAUGUUUGUGAUAUCUGUUAUUUAUUGAUGGUUAUCAGACCAUAUCUAACAUUUACUUUUAAUAGGAUAUUUAACCUAUUUGUUUAUAUGUUUAGAUAACACCUGUUUUAACAUUUGAAAACAGCUGUUGUGUAUAUAUAUUAAAUGUCUCAUACAUAUAGUCUUGUAUUAUACCAUAUGUAUCUAUGUUUUGUAGAUAAAACAUAUAGCCUCAUAUGUAACAUAGACUUACCACUAUCAUAUAGCUGUUUAUUUGUAUGAGCUGGUGAAAGAAGACAUAACUUAUAAAAUGUCUUAUGUAUUAAAAGUUGAUGAACACAUUGA